rnacentral:rRNA from 1 species
UUGAUUUUAUAGCAAUAGACGGAUUAUGGCUGAGUGGUAAAGCGCUUUCUUUGGGAGAAAGAUACCCUAAGUUCGAAUCUUAGUAACCCGAAAAAUAAAUAAUAGCUUAGAAGAAUUAGUAAUAAGCAAUAUUAACUAGAUAUAUAUAAUUUAAAUGUAUAUAAAUAAGUAUACAAAGAAAUUAUUAUGGAGUUUUAGCUAUGUAUUAAAGAGAAAUAUUUAUUAAUAUAAUAUUUUAUAAUAAUAUAAACUCUAAGAGAAAUUAGAUAAUAAACGAAGUGAAUUGAAAUAUCUUAGUAACUUUAGGAAAAUAAAUCAAAAGAGAUUCCAUGAAUAGUGUGAACGAAAAUGGAGAAGUCUAAAAAGUAAAAUGGUAUUUAAACAGUUUGAAUAUUAUGGGGAACCUUCCUCAAAGACUAAAUAUAAUACAUGAGCUAUAGAGUAUAGUACCGUGAGGGAACAAAUUGAAAUAGUUAUUUUAUAAGCAGUUUGAAAUAAAAAACGUACCUUUUGCAUAAUGGGUCACCAAGUUAACAUUAGAUGCGAGUAAAUACGUAGUUAAACCGAGCGUUAAAAUAACGGUAUUAGUAUCUAAAGUUAGACCCGAAGCCUGGUGAUUUUACCAUAAUCAGGAUUAUAAAAGUCCGAACGGAAUAUUGUAGCAAAAAUAUCCGAAGAAUUAUGGUAGGUAUAGUGAAAGACAAUACUGACUAGGAUAGCUGGUUUUCUGCGAAACCUAUAAUAGUAGGCAAUUUAAUAAAACAUCUUAGCAGGUACAGAAUUUAAUCUCAGACAAGACAAAAACUUUUUGUUUUAUAUUGUACAAAUUGGGGGAUCGUGAAGAUUUUAUCAGUGAGUAUGUAGACUCGGAAUGGCAAAGAUGUAUGUUAAAUUAUCAGACAUAGAAUGAUAAGGUUGUAUGUCAAAAGGGAAACAGCCCAGAACAAGAGUUAAGGUUCCUAAAUUAUUAGUUAAGUGAAAUUAAGAGAGUUUCUAUUAAAGUCGACAAGGAGAUAGGCUUAGAAGCAGCCAUAAUUUUAUGACCUCGUAACAGAGCGCUUGUUAAGUUGUAGAAGCAUCGAAAAUUUAACGGAUCUAAACAAUAUACCGAAACCUUGUCCAUAUAAAGUAAAAUUGAAUUUUAAUUAUGUGGGGUAGCAGAACGUUGAAUUAUACUAAGACUUUUAUUUUUUAAAUAAAAGGAACUAUUUUUAUUUAAAAAUUAUUUUAAAUAAAUUGAAGAAUUAAAUUCAAGUGAGAAUGGUGACAUGAGUAACUAAAAGAAAAAUUUAAUUUUUCCGCCUAAAGCUUAUGGAUGACAUUAAGUAACGGCCUCUAAGUUUAAAAUUAUCUAAAGGUUUAAACGAUGAGAAAUCUUUAUUACUAAGGACAACAUUUUAGUGUAAAAUGUGCUGGAAAAAUAGUAAUAUCAUUAUGAGAAUUAUUAUAUCCUUGGAUAUAAUAAAAUGUACAUAACGAGAACAACCGUACCUAGAUUCUGAAACAAGUAAGCUAGUAGAGAAUACGAAGGCGUAAAUGAGCUAACAAUCAUAAAGGAACUCGGCAAACUAACUACCGUAACUUCGGAAUAAGGAGGGCUCAUUAUUCUUGAUUAAUAUCAAGUAAAAAGGAAGAAGCAUGAAAUAGUGUUGUACGACUGUUUAAUUAAAACACAGCACUUUGCUGAAAGAUUAAAAAUCUAAGUAUAAAGUGUGAGAUCUGCCCGGUGCCGGCUGGUUAACAGAGACAACUAGGUAUACUACUAUCUAAUGUUGACGGAAACCCCGGUUAAAGGCGGCCUUAACGUGAGGGUCCUAAGGUAGCUAAAUGCCUUGGCCGUUAAAUGCGGUCUUGCAUGAAUGGUGUAACGAUACAACAGCUGUCUCUAUGAUUGACUCAGUGAAAUUGGAAUAGCUGUGCAGAUACAGCUUACCUCUAGUUAGACGAGAAGACCCUAUGCAGCUUUACUGUCACUAAUUAUAGAUUAUGUUAAGCAAUUUUCAGAUUAUAAGGUAAUCGAUUUUAGAUAAAUAUGGAAAACCUUUAUUUUCAUUUCAUUUGAAUGAAUUAAUUUAGGAUUAUGAUAGUUUGUAUUAAUAGUAUUUUAUUAUUAAUAUUUAACUUUUUCAUAAUAGUAAAUUAACCUAAUUCAGCUUAUUUAUGUAAUAGUAAGUAAGUACCCUUGGUGAGGAACUAUCGCUAGGAGACAGUUUAUGUGGGGCACAGACCCUGUAAAGAGUAAACAGGAGUGUCUAAAAAUUUAUUUUUAUUAAGUUUGCUAUCUUUAAUAAUUAUUUAAAAUAAUUAUUGUUGAUCGUAUUAAAUUAAAUGUAUUUAUACUAGUUAUACAUAUAUUUAAAAUUAGGUAGGAUUUUUACUACAUAGAAAGUAGAGAUGUUAAAAAUAUUAUGAAUCUUUUCUAAUAUUUUUUCGAUUAUUAUUUAUAAUCUUUGUUAACAUCUAAAAAGCUCAACGGCUAAAUCCUGCCUUACUGUUUGAUUAUCGACAAAUCUUACAGUUGCGUAAGCAGGGCAUAGGAUCACAAGAUGCAAUAAGGAAAGAUCUUGGAUUAUUGGAAAAGCUACGCUAGGGAUGUUUGUCCUAUAAUAUUUUAUAGUAAAUAUAAAAUAAUUAAUAUAAAUUGGGUAAAUUUCAAGAAUUACUGUUUAGUAAACUUGAAGCGAAUUUUAUCUUAACAUAUAAUAAGAUAAAAACGUUCAACGACUAUAGGGUGAGUUUAUAUGUUUUUAGUCAAAAAAAAUUUUCAACAAUAAUCCCUUUUAACUAU